GGGGUCUGCAAGAGAGAGAGAUCUAGUCUCUUUUCUCUUUCUUUUGCCUAUUAAAACUCUGCUCUUAAACUCACUUCUUGUGUGUCUGUGUCCUCAAUUCCCUUGGCAUGAGAUAACAAACCUCAGGUAUUUACCCCAGACAACGACACUGCUUCAAUAUUUAGUAAUAAUACAUAAGUAUUAUGUAUUAUUAUGUAUACAUAAUAUGUACAUAAUACAUUAUAAAAUGUAUUCCAAGAAUACAAGAGUGGUUCCUUAGUAGAGCAUCAAUUAAUACAAUUAAUCGUAUUAAUAAAGCUAAGGAAAAAAAUCAGAUUGUUAACUCCAUAAAUGCCAAAAAGGUAUUUAUUGCCUCCAUAAAUGCCAAAAAGGUAAAUGCCAAACAAAAUUCAACAUGCUUCCAUGUCAAAAAUACUAAAUAAUAAAUAGAAAUUGGUGGAGGUUGCAGUGAGGCAAGAUCGUGCCAUUGCACUCCAGCCUGGGAGACAAGAGCGAAACUCGGUGUCAAAAAAGAAAAAGAUGAGUGGGAAAAUAAGUUCUGAUAGUUCUGAUGAAUAAUUAAACAGUUUUUCAUUGCCACUUUUAUCUCUAAGAGGGUGAAUUUGCACAAAUCAUUCUUAAAAUUAUGAGGUCCAAAGUGAUGUUAUGAUUUAUUAAUACAAAGUGAAAUAAUUAAAUCAACCUAGUUAACAUAUCCAUCACCUCAAAUAUUUAACAUUUUGUGGUGAGACAUUUGAAAUUUACUCUCUUAGCAAUUUUGAGAUGUAAAACAAGCAACCUGUGCAUUGUGAGUAUGCUUUGCAGAUGUGAUGCCUGGAUCUGUCAUGCUGGUUGUGGCGGAUCCUUUGGUGCACCCUUGGCCUACCUCUGGUUGCAGCUGCAGCUGUGGUGGUAGGAUCUACUUCCUCUACCAUUGUAUGCACAAUGCCUUUUCUGCCUCUAGGUUUGUUUGGAAGCCUUGUACUUAGUCCAAGUACAAACACAGCCCAGAAGUGACAGUGAGUUAAUACCCCUGGGAGCAACUCUCAACCAGUGAGGGUUAAAGUCAGUCAGUGCACAGUCUCCUGUUCUUCAACACGAAUUUAGGAGACAUUCUUUGUGCUUCUCAGAGGUUUUGGUGGAAUUGAGCCCCUACUGUCUACAGAGAUGACCCAAAUAAUACAUAAUUUAUUGACUUUUCUCCUUCCCUCUAUCAGUCUGCUUUAUUGUCUCACAAUCCUGCUGCGUGUAAUCAGCCCAAAAGUUCACUACCUGCACCCAAGCCCUCAUCACAGGUUCAAAAUAUCCAAAGAUUUUAAUUAUUCAGAAAUAAAGAGCCAUGGGACCACCCAAUUCAUUGGGGAGUGAAUUCUUUUCUAGAAUUGAACUCUUAUCUCAAUCAUAUCAGCCAAAGUAUCUCAAUAAUUAACAAUUGCUGUUGUUUUUUUGCUUUGAAAAGAUUUUGUUGUGAAAUAUUUCAUAUCUACAGAAGAGAACAUACAAUGUAAAUGAGUAGUGUAAAGGAUAAAACGAGGCCAGGUGUGGUGGCUCAUGCCUGUAAUCCAAGGAUUUUAGGAGUCUGAGGCUGGAGGAUUGCUUGAACCUGAGUUUAAGACCAGCCUGGGUAACAUAAUGAGACCCUGCCUCUAAAAAACAUUUUAAAAAUCAGCUGGAUGUGGUGGCAUGUGCCUGUAGUCCCAGCUACUUGGAGGCUAAGGUGGAAGGAUUGCUUGAGCCUGGGACGUCAAGGCUGCAGUGAGCUGUGAUUGUACCACCUGGGCAACAGAGCAGGACCCUGUGUCAAAAAAAAAAAAAAAAAAAAAAA
ensembl:lncRNA